rnacentral:lncRNA from 1 species
CCCCAAGAAGGGUGGUCUUCCAGGAGUCACUGAAAAUUUCAAGAAGUGAAAAUCCAACAGAAAAUAUUUGAACCCAGGAAUAAAAUAGAAGCCUGGAAGACUGAAGGAUAUACCAACUGACUACAUCAGAAAUAAUCUAGCAUCAUAUGUAAAGUCUACAAUAUUCAAUAGAGAACUCAAAAACAAAGCAACUAGGAUAAGACGAAAAUUAAACAUAAAAUUCUGAGCAGUCAAGUUAAAGGGGCCUGGUUGAUCCACUUCAGAUUCAUCCCCUGUUUUAUUAGAGGUUGAAAAAGGUUCAAGACCUGGUUGUACCACAGCUCCCACCGACAGCUAAGGAACCAGUUUGGCGUCUGGUUUGUCUGUUGUUUUACUGCUGACCUUCAAAUCAACUUUAACCCCUGACCUCUGGAGGCAUCUAUCAUGACAAGAGGCUGUUUAACACAAAUGGUGCCCAUUUAUAGGGGAAGAGACUCUGAAGAUUUCCUUUUUAUGAAGAAUUUAGUUUUUCACCCCUCUUUUCUCAGUCACCACAGGUGAAAUCCCUCUCAGCAGCUGGCUUAUGAAAUAAUGUGAAGGGAGGCCUUAAUGAGCAGAACGCACCCUCAGCUGGAGAUAAAUAUAUGCAAAUGAGAUGCACAAACAAAGAAGCCUGGACAGAGAAAUAUCUGCAAUUCCAGCAAAAUGCUGCCUGCAGCUCGAAGAUGAACAGCUUUGAUAAAAUGUGAGAAAUAUUACCACGCGUGCUGAUGCCUCAGACACACCAAUCUGCAACAAGCAACUAGGAUAAAAAAUAGUUAAAAGUGAAUCAACAUUUAUCUGGAAUAUACAGUCCUGACCCCCUUACGCACUCCCCCCCACCCCCCUCCCCGCAACACACAAAGUCAUUUGUCUU